CUAGGGCUGGCUGCAGUGGAUAGGGCAAGAAAACGGCAAGCCUCCCGAGUUACCUGGCUGCGGGCUGGAGACGCCUCGACUGCCUUCUUUUAGGCAAAGAUCAACUCUAGAAAUAGGAAGAAGUUCAUACACACUUUGCAUGGGCCUGCAGGGGUGAUCACUUCACAGGAAGACAAGGAGGCACUAAUCCAUGAUCAUUUCAACUCCUUGCUGGGGACGAUGGUUCGACGCGACACCACCAUCCACUGGAACUCCCUCGAUCUACCUCACCUGCAAGGCGGAGGCCUAGAUAGCCCCUUCACUGAAGAUGAAGUAUGGCUAGUGAUCAAAUCCUCUCCAGCUGAGCGAUCACCGGGGCCGGAUGGAUUCUCUGGUACUUUCUUUAGGAGCUGCUGGGCUAUCAUCAAGGACGACGUCAUGGCAGCUUUUAGCCAAUUCUACAAUCUAGCGGGUAGAAAUUUUGCAUCCAUCAACACGGCCCUAGUGGCCCUGAUCCCAAAGAAGGAUGGGGCCUCCUCCAUUGCGGACUUUCGGCCAAUUAGUUUAAUCCACUCCAUCGCCAAACUCAUUGCAAAGGUGCUCUCAUUGCGGCUGGCCACGGUUAUUCAUACGCUAAUCUCCCCAGCACAAUUAGCUUUCCUCCGGACCAAGUGUAUCCACGAUAGCUUCUUAUACGUCCAGAACUGUGUCAAAGCACUCCAUAGAAAGAAAACCCCUACCCUGCUCCUAAAACUGGACAUCGCCAAGGCCUUCGACAAUGUAUCAUGGGAAUACAUACUAGAGCUGCUGCAAAAGCUAGGCUUUAGUGUUAGAUGGAGAGAUUGA
rnacentral:rRNA from 1 species